UACACUCACUACGGUGUACAUACUAAAUAUGACAUUAAACAAUUACAAAGAGCUGUUACUCAAAUAUUUUGAAAUAAAAGUUUUUGGCUUUAAGCACUACACUUCUUAACACCCUUUCAGAUUAGUCCAUCGAUAAAGUUUCAUAUAAAUAUUGUGUUCAUAAUGUUGGAGUUACAUUUUGGUCAACUACCAGUGAAAUGGGCAGUUACUCAAAAAUGAUAAGGCAAACAGUUAUAAAUUGUAUUGCACUGCACUUCUACUUAUUUAAAUAUAUCUGCCUUCACAGUUUUCUGUUGAUCUUUCUUAUAGAAUAUGUAGGAUUAUUAUGCACUGUACUUCUACGCAAUGGGAUUUUCUACCUACUAAGUUUCUUUCUGAUGUCGUUUUGUAGUUCUGUUUUGGACACAGUUUAAAUUUUUAAAUGAAAAUUGCAGGUCUGCAAAAGUCAAAUUAAGCAAGUCCCUUCAAUUUAUUAGAUAUAUCUUUUUACACAGUGUCUUGCUGAUAUCUCAUGUAGUAAUCGGACAAUAAAAUUGUUUUUUGUUCUGUUUUCACAGAAGAGAGAGAACGUUCUUGUUACAAUUUAUUGCAGGAAAAAGUCGAUAUGGAUGAUAAACAAAAAGAAUGUUGUUGCAGGAAACAUGUCAACAAAAUCGCAUUAGUGUUCAUAGGCUUGUUAUAUCUUCUUUUUGCAUUAGUGUAUUAUUUUCGCGCAUGGUCUAAAAAAUGAAUACAUUUUAAAUUAUUACUUAUAGAUUCUUAGAUCCUUGUUUUGGUGAUUAAAUGCGUUUGCCAUGCUUUUAGAUAUGAAUUAGUUCCCUUCUAAUUAUGCAAGGCUACAUGAACUUAUUAUAGAUGUUUCCAAUGACAUGGAAAACAAGUCCAAAGAUUAAAAAAACAUAAGUGAUAAAUAUUUAUAUUUAUACUUAGAAAUUUCUGGGGUAUUUAUUUAACAAUUUUUGAUAUAACUAUAUGCUCAUUCACUAAUUUAGUUUUUGUAAUCAAGUUAUGCUUUUGUAUUAGUUUCUGGCCUCUUUGUCCUUUUUGUGUGUUUUAUUUUCACUUAAUACUAUUAAAUGGUAAUAAAAAUAUUAGAAUCAUAGUAAAUUAUGCAAUUAAGCAGAUAUUGUUCAAAUAAUACGUAAGAUAACUGUUAUUGUAUAAUCGUCGACAAUUAUAUUUUGAUCUUAAGGUAUUUUAGGUAACGCUAACGAGAUGAAAUGUGUUAUAGCAACUUGUAUGUAUAUAUAACCAGAUUUCGGUAUGAAACUUAUAUAAUAUGAUUAUAACAAACUCAAAUAAACGUAGUUUUAUUCGGAGUUUUAGCUUAAGCAAUUUUGUUAGUAAUAAUACAUUUAUGUAAAUAAUUAAAUCUAUAAACAGA